rnacentral:lncRNA from 1 species
CCCAUAGAUUCGAACCUCAGUCGGUAGCACAAGAACAAUUCUUGUACUAAUUGAUGUAACAUCUAGCAAUGGGAUCCGACAUCCGGAUAGGCCGAAUGUAUGCCUUGCAACACUCUAAAAUUCAUGUGGAUAUAGUUACUGUAUAAUUCAUCUCUUUGACACUUGAUGCUCAAGGACGACUAAGGGUAAACUGUCAACCCAGAA